rnacentral:rRNA from 1 species
AUUGAACGCUGGCGGCAGGCCUAACACAUGCAAGUCGAGCGGAGCGGCGGACGGGUGAGUAAUGCCUAGGCAUCUGCCUGGUAGUGGGGGAUAACGUCCGGAAACGGGCGCUACUACCGCAUACUAUCAGAUGAGCCUAGGUCGGAUUAGCUAGUUGGUGGGGUAAAGGCCUACCAAGGCGACGAUCCGUAACUGGUCUGGGAGGAUGAUCAGUCACACUGGAACCUGGACACGGUCCAGACUCCUACGGGAGGCAGGAGUGGGGAAGAUUGGACAAUGGGCGAAAGCCUGAUCCAGACAUGCCGCGUGUGUGAAGAAGGUCCUCGGAUUGUAAAGAACGUUAAGUUGGGAGGCGUGACCAAAAGAAUAAGCACCGGCUAACCUCGUGCCAGCAGGCGCGGUAAUUC